rnacentral:rRNA from 1 species
GAUCCUGGCUCAGGAUGAACGCUGGCGGCGUGCUUAACACAUGCAAGUCGAACGAUCCUUCGGGAUAGUGGCGGACGGGUGAGUAACGCGUGGGAAUCUGCCCUUAGGAGGGGGAUAACGGCUGGAAACGGCCGCUAAUACCCCAUAUGCCGAGAGGUGAAACGAAUUUCGCCUGAGGAUGAGCCCGCGUCUGAUUAGUUAGUUGGUGGGGUAAAGGCCUACCAAGGCGACGAUCAGUAGCUGGUCUGAGAGGAUGAUCAGCCACACUGGGACUGAGACACGGCCCAGACUCCUACGGGAGGCAGCAGUGGGGAAUUUUCCGCAAUGGGCGAAAGCCUGACGGAGCAACGCCGCGUGAGGGAUGAAGGCCUCUGGGCUGUAAACCUCUUUUCUCAAGGAAGAAGAACUGACGGUACUUGAGGAAUAAGCCACGGCUAAUUCCGUGCCGGCAGCCGCGGUAAUACGGGAGUGGCAAGCGUUAUCCGGAAUUAUUGGGCGUAAAGCGUCCGCAGGCGGCCUUGUAAGUCUGUUGUUAAAGCGUGGAGCUCAACUCCAUUUAAGCAAUGGAAACUACAAGGCUGGAGUGUGGUAGGGGCAGAGGGAAUUCCCGGUGUAGCGGUGAAAUGCGUAGAUAUCGGGAAGAACACCAGUGGCGAAGGCGCUCUGCUGGGCCAUAACUGACGCUCAUGGACGAAAGCCAGGGGAGCGAAAGGGAUUAGAUACCCCUGUAGUCCUGGCCGUAAACGAUGAACACUAGGUGUCGGGGGAAUCGACCCCCUCGGUGUCGUAGCCAACGCGUUAAGUGUUCCGCCUGGGGAGUACGCACGCAAGUGUGAAACUCAAAGGAAUUGACGGGGGCCCGCACAAGCGGUGGAGUAUGUGGUUUAAUUCGAUGCAACGCGAAGAACCUUACCAGGGUUUGACAUCCUGCGAAUCCCUUGGAAACGAGGGAGUGCCUUCGGGAGCGCAGUGACAGGUGGUGCAUGGCUGUCGUCAGCUCGUGUCGUGAGAUGUUGGGUUAAGUCCCGCAACGAGCGCAACCCACGUCUUUAGUUGCCAGCAUUCAGUUGGGCACUCUAGAGAGACCGCCGGUGAUAAACCGGAGGAAGGUGUGGAUGACGUCAAGUCAUCAUGCCCCUUACAUCCUGGGCUACACACGUACUACAAUGCUACGGACAAAGGGCAGCAAGCUCGCGAGAGUUAGCAAAUCCCAUAAACCGUGGCUCAGUUCAGAUCGUAGGCUGCAACUCGCCUACGUGAAGGAGGAAUCGCUAGUAAUCGCAGGUCAGCAUACUGCGGUGAAUACGUUCCCGGGCCUUGUACACACCGCCCGUCACACCAUGGAAGUUGGCCAUGCCCGAAGUCGUUACUCCAACCCUUGUGGAGGAGGACGCCGAAGGUGGGGCUGAUGACUGGGGUGAAGUCGUAACAAGGUA